AACGAACGCUGGCGGCGCGCCUAAUACAUGCAAGUCGAGCGAGAAGACGUAGCAAUACGUUUGUAAAGCGGCGAACGGGUGAGGAAUACAUGGGUAACCUACCCUCGAGUGGGGAAUAACUAGCCGAAAGGUUAGCUAAUACCGCGUACGCUCCUUGGACUUCGGUUCAGGGAGGAAAGCGAUACCGUGGGUAUCGCGCUCUUGGAUGGGCUCAUGUCCUAUCAGCUUGUUGGUGAGGAACGGCUCACCAAGGCUUCGACGGGUAGCUGGUCUGAGAGGACGAUCAGCCACACUGGCACUGCGACACGGGCCAGACUCCUACGGGAGGCAGCAGUAAGGAAUAUUGCGCAAUGGGCGAAAGCCUGACGCAGCGACGCCGCGUGGGGGGAUGAAGGGUCUUCGGAUUGUAAACCCCUUUCGGGAGGGAAGAUGGAACGAGCAAUCGUUCGGACGGUACCUCCAGAAGCAGCCACGGCUAACUUCGUGCCAGCCGCCGCAGUAAC
rnacentral:rRNA from 1 species